UCCCAAAGCCUUCCAAGCCAGACACACGGCCGCCGCAGCCGAGAUGGCCGCCGGAGAUGCCACCCACGCGCCGCCGGCCGCGGAGGCGCAGUCUCUGGUGGAUUCGUUCUGCGCAGUCACCUCGGCGACCCCCGACGAGGCGACCUUCUUCCUCGAGGGCCACAACUGGGCCCUCGAGGCCGCCGUCCGCUCCUUCUACGACAACACGGAAGUCGACGCCGAUGGCCCCGAUCCGGCACCCCAGCCCCCGCCAGCCGGUUCGCCUCCGUGCUCCUCACCACGCGCCACGGCACCAUCGACGACCUCCUUCACACCGGCGAGCUCGCGCUAUGUUCAGUGGUGCUAAUGUCCGGGCUCAUCAUAAUCCUGAGCAGCGCCGCCAAGAUCACUCACCAGGUGCAGGCCCUCAUGGGCCAGACCACCAAGUGGCACGCCUGCUGCACCAUCGAGCCGGUCCCGGACGACGAGAUAGAUCCGGGAUCCAACCAGAACUCCAUGCUGGAGGAGUACCCCGAGCCCGAGGACGAGAGCGACUGUGAGUCCAGCGAGGAGACCGGCGACGAGGACAUGGUGGAGAACACCAAGUUCCUCCAGCCUCACAUGCACGUGAUCUCCUUCCAGAAGAGGCAGGCACUAGUGACCUUCCUGGAGAACAACAACGCCGGCAUCACCGUCUUCGGGUUCACGCUGGACCGGUCGUACCUCCACACGAUAUUCAUGCUCGAGUGGACGUUCUUCCUGUGGCUGCUGGGGAAAACAGUCGGCUUCUCGUGA
rnacentral:rRNA from 1 species